rnacentral:tRNA from 1 species
UCCCUGGUGGCUCAGAUGGUAAAGCGUCUGCUUGCAAUGCAGGAGACCUGGGUUUGAUUCCUGGGUCGGGAA